rnacentral:lncRNA from 1 species
ACAGUUUUUACCCUAGAAUUGAUCUCUCUCUUGCAUGCCUUCAAAGACUCGAGCGAGUUUGGGUAUAGACCUGACCCUUAGGCAAAUUUACGUUAUAGGGAAAGAUCCAUUAGACUUUCCUUGACAUGCCUUCAAAACUUUCAUGAUAGAAUGUGGGGAAGGUAUCACAAUGACAUGGAGUUUCUUGCCUCUGGUCGUCAGAAUCACAGCAAGAAAUGGAUUGAAGUGUGAAGGUACGAAAAUGGAGAUGCAACCAACUUCUAUCAAUGCAGCUUUUCCGUCUAUUGAAUUAGGGUUUUAUGACUCUUUAAAUAGGCAACUUCUUGAAUCAUGGGUCAACCUGUAAUUGGAUAAGAACAAUACAAAGGAAUAAGGCAUAUUCUCCCUUUUGGGUUGGUACUAAGAUAGUACAAUUGCAAGACAUGGAAGACGCCGACUGUCAUGCCUUUCAGUGACAAAUUGUUCUUAUUUUCUUACUAGCACAACGCUUUGACUUUGCACAUUUUCAUAAGUUUUUUUAUAAAAACUUACUAUUUAAAAUGCUUAAAGAAUAUUCCGAAGGCACUCGUUAACAUGACGAAACAAUAAUAGAAGCUCAAACUACACCAUUUUGGAGUAGGAACACAAGGCACAUCAUGCAACACUUAAAAUCCAUUACAAAACCAUCUCUUAGGGAUCCCAUAUUACAUAUACAAUAUUCAACAAAAAUUUGAUAACAAACUCUGUGCAUGCAGAAUGCACAAUAUCAAACAUGCACGAAUAAAAAAAAAAUAUUAUAAUAUAGAAUAAUAAGAAAUGAGUACGCUUUAAGAGUUUGGUCUAGUGAUAAAAAGACAGUUUGAGCUCCGUAAGACCUUGGAGGUAGCCAAGUAAUUACCUUUCUAAUCUUUGAGCUCAAAAAAAAAAAUUUAUCUUAGACUGAAACACCAUUCCCCCAUUCUAAAUUUAUUAUAUCUAAAAAAUAACAAAAAAUGAGUAACAACGCGGAAUUAGAUAAGGAGGAAAAAAACCAAAAGCGAGGUGCAAAAUAUUGAGGUAGCGCGGAGUAUGGUCAUUCCAGUUUGAUUCGCGGAUGAUUUAUCGCCUUUCUUCUUCUUCUUUUUCUUGUCUCCAAGCUUUCUUCCAUGAAGGGAGAGGUUGUCAUCAUCCAACAAUAGCCUUUUCUUAUUCUCUAAAAGUUGAAAGUGGUGAUUAAGAAGUGCUCUUGUCUUUGCAUGAUCUAAGGCUAAUUUCUUCUCAUUUUCACCAUUAGUUUGCAAACAAAGGGACAAUAACAAGAAAGUAACUAGGAAAGCACGUAACACGAUGCAAAUUGUAGUUUGUGUCAUCAUAUUCAAAAC